rnacentral:lncRNA from 1 species
AUGCACACAUUCGAAUUUCUGUUCUACGAUAUCGGAUUACAAUCUGUUUGUGUUCCUUAAAAACUCGUUUUUCAAUCCAGUGACAAGACCCAGAGAAGAAUUGUUCAAGCCCAAACUCUUGCCAUAGAUAUUCUUGCUAAGAGGCUGGAAUAGGAUAAAGCGACCAAACCACCAUGGUAAUAUAAUGGAAAUGAUGACCAAGAUCAGAACAUAUUUGAUAAAUGAUGAAUGAUAUGAUGAAGAAGGGUGCUUUGGCAGAUUGAAUUGUUGGUCUCAAUGAUUUCUUCACUCUCUCACAGUGAUGUCAUGUCUCUACACUCUUGCCAUGGCUUCAUGGUUGGCAAAUAGGAAUGUCCAUGGAAGUGAUCCACCAUGAUAAGAACAUGUCACUGGUAGUCACGCCUCUGAAUCUAGGUUCCAGAAUGAGACCUGUGGAGCAGAUUCACAACCUGCAACCAAGCCCAGAAGAAAUAUAGCCUGAUUGUUGUAGCUGUCUUUGACUCUCACAGAAGCUUCAGCUCCUUUGACGGUCUGUGUUCAUCAGGACUGAAUCUAUUUAAGCCUUUGUGAUGAUUAGCCCAGCCUGGAUAAUGGAGAGCAAGCCUUCUACAAAGUGGUUGAUGCUGGUUCUUCUUGAGAAGUUGAUUUGCUCCUGAUUGUUCUUUUCCUGAAAGUCAUAGUGAUGGACGACAACUCUUACCAUUGUCUUCAGCAUUGCUCAAACAUUUCUACAUUUCCAAAUUACAUGCUUAAACUGCCAUU